rnacentral:rRNA from 1 species
UAGGGAAUAUUGGACAAUGGGCGAAAGCCUGAUCCAGCAAUGCCGCGUGAGUGAUGAAGGCCUUAGGGUUGUAA